rnacentral:rRNA from 1 species
GGAUUGCAGCCUGCAACUCGGCUGCAUGAAGCUGGAAUCGCUAGUAAUCGCGGAUCAGAAUGCCGCGGUGAAUACGUUCCCGGGUCUUGUACACACCGCCCGUCACACCAUGGGAGUCGGGAAUGCCCGAAGUCAGUGACCCAACCGAAAGGGGGGAGCUGCCGAAGGCAGGCCUGGUAACUGGGGUGAAGUCGUAACAAGGUAAC